rnacentral:rRNA from 1 species
GAUGAACGCUGGCGGCGUGCCUAAUACAUGCAAGUCGAGCGAACAGAUAAGGAGCUUGCUCCUUUGACGUUAGCGGCGGACGGGUGAGUAACACGUGGGUAACCUACCUAUAAGACUGGAAUAACUCCGGGAAACCGGAGCUAAUGCCGGAUAACAUGUUGAACCGCAUGGUUCUACAGUGAAAGGCGGCUUUGCUGUCACUUAUAGAUGGACCCGCGCCGUAUUAGCUAGUUGGUGAGGUAACGGCUCACCAAGGCAACGAUACGUAGCCGACCUGAGAGGGUGAUCGGCCACACUGGAACUGAGACACGGUCCAGACUCCUACGGGAGGCAGCAGUAGGGAAUCUUCCGCAAUGGGCGAAAGCCUGACGGAGCAACGCCGCGUGAGUGAUGAAGGUCUUCGGAUCGUAAAACUCUGUUAUUAGGGAAGAACAAAUGCGUAAGUAACUGUGCGCGUCUUGACGGUACCUAAUCAGAAAGCCACGGCUAACUACGUG